rnacentral:rRNA from 1 species
CGAACGCACAGCGAAAGGUGCUUGCACCUUUCAAGCGAGUGGCGAACGGGUGAGUAACACGUGGACAACCUGCCUCAAGGCUGGGGAUAACAUUUGGAAACAGAUGCUAAUACCGAAUAAAACUUAGUGUCGCAUGACACAAAGUUAAAAGGCGCUUCGGCGUCACCUAGAGAUGGAUCCGCGGUGCAUUAGUUAGUUGGUGGGGUAAAGGCCUACCAAGACAAUGAUGCAUAGCCGAGUUGAGAGACUGAUCGGCCACAUUGGGACUGAGACACGGCCCAAACUCCUACGGGAGGCUGCAGUAGGGAAUCUUCCACAAUGGGCGAAAGCCUGAUGGAGCAACGCCGCGUGUGUGAUGAAGGCUUUCGGGUCGUAAAGCACUGUUGUAUGGGAAGAACAGCUAGAAUAGGAAAUGAUUUUAGUUUGACGGUACCAUACCAGAAAGGGACGGCUAAAUACGUGCCAGCAGCCGCGGUAAUACGUAUGUCCCGAGCGUUAUCCGGAUUUAUUGGGCGUAAAGCGAGCGCAGACGGUUUAUUAAGUCUGAUGUGAAAGCCCGGAGCUCAACUCCGGAAUGGCAUUGGAAACUGGUUAACUUGAGUGCAGUAGAGGUAAGUGGAACUCCAUGUGUAGCGGUGGAAUGCGUAGAUAUAUGGAAGAACACCAGUGGCGAAGGCGGCUUACUGGACUGCAACUGACGUUGAGGCUCGAAAGUGUGGGUAGCAAACAGGAUUAGAUACCCUGGUAGUCCACACCGUAAACGAUGAACACUAGGUGUUAGGAGGUUUCCGCCUCUU